GAUGAACGCUGGCGGCGUGCCUAAUACAUGCAAGUCGAGCGAACGGACGAGAAGCUUGCUUCUCUGAUGUUAGCGGCGGACGGGUGAGUAACACGUGGAUAACCUACCUAUAAGACUGGGAUAACUUCGGGAAACCGGAGCUAAUACCGGAUAAUAUUUUGAACCGCAUGGUUCAAAAGUGAAAGACGGUCUUGCUGUCACUUAUAGAUGGAUCCGCGCUGCAUUAGCUAGUUGGUAAGGUAACGGCUUACCAAGGCAACGAUGCAUAGCCGACCUGAGAGGGUGGUCGGCCGCACUGGAACUGGAACACGGUCCAGACGCCUACGGGAGGCAGCAGUAGGGUAUGUUCGGCAAUGGGCGGAAGCCUGACGGAGCAACGCCGCGUGAGUGAUGAAGGUCUUCGGAGCGGAAAACUCUGUUAUUAGGGAAGAACAUAUGUGUAAGUAACUGUGCACAGCUUGACGGUACCUAAUCAGAAAGCCACGGCUAACUACGUG
rnacentral:rRNA from 1 species